rnacentral:rRNA from 1 species
CCUUUUAAAAGACCUAGUAAUAGGUAUGCUUUAGGAGGGGCUUGCGCCAUAUUAGUUAGUUGGUAGGGUAAUGGCCUACCAAGACGAUGAUGUGUAGCUGGACUGAGAGGUUGAACAGCCACAUUGGGACUGAGACACGGCCCAAACUCCUACGGGAGGCAGCAGUAGGGAAUUUUCGGCAAUGGAGGAAACUCUGACCGAGCAACGCCGCGUGAAUGACGAAGUACUUCGGUAUGUAAAGUUCUUUUAUCAAGGAAGAAAAGCAAAUGGCGAACCAUUUGUUUGCCGGUACUUGAUGAAUAAGCCCCGGCUAAUUAUGUGCCAGCAGCCGCGGUAAGACAUAAGGGGCAAGUGUUAUCCGGAAUUAUUGGGCGUAAAGGGUGCGUAGGCGGUCUAGUAAGUCAGUGGUGUAAUGGCAACGCUUAACGUUGUCCGGCUAUUGAAACUGCUAAACUUGAGUUAGAUAGAGGCGAGUGGAAUUCCAUGUGUAGCGGUAAAAUGCGUAAAUAUAUGGAGGAACACCAGAGGCGUAGGCGGCUCGCUGGGUCUUAACUGACGCUGAGGCACGAAAGCGUGGGGAGCAAACAGGAUUAGAUACCCUGGUAGUCCACGCCGUAAACGAUGAGUACUAAGUGUCGGGUUAAACCGGUACUGAAGUUAACACAUUAAGUACUCCGCCUGAGUAGUACGUACGCAAGUAUGAAACUUAAAGGAAUUGACGGGACUCCGCACAAGCGGUGGAUCAUGUUGUUUAAUUCGAAGAUACCCGAAAAACCUUACCAGGUCUUGACAUGUUUUUGCAAAAUGAUAGUAAUAUCGUGGAGGUUACCAGAAACACAGGUGGUGCAUGGUUGUCGUCAGCUCGUGUCGUGAGAUGUUAGGUUAAGUCCUAAAACGAGCGAAACCCUUAUCGUUAGUUGCCAGCACGUUAUGGUGGGGACUUUAACGAGACUGCCAAUGAUAAAUUGGAGGAAGGUGAGGAUCACGUCAAAUCAGCAUGCCCCUUAUGACCUGGGCUACAAACGUGAUACAAUGGCUGUUACAAAGGGUAGCUGAAACGCAAGUUCUUGGCCAAUCCCCAAAAACAGUCCCAGUCCGGAUUGAAGUCUGCAACUCGACUUCAUGAAGUUGGAAUCGCUAGUAAUCGCGAAUCAGCAUGUCGCGGUGAAUACGUUC